UAGGGAAUCUUCCACAAUGGGCGAAAGCCUGAUGGAGCAACGCCGCGUGUGUGAUGAAGGGUUUCGGCUCGUAAAACACUGUUGUAAGAGAAGAAUGACAUUGAGAGUAACUGUUCAAUGUGUGACGGUAUCUUACCAGAAAGGAACGGCUGAAUACGUCCCAG
rnacentral:rRNA from 1 species